rnacentral:tRNA from 1 species
GAUGUCGUGGCCGAGUGGCUAAGGUUAAGGACUAGAAAUCUAUUGAGAUCUUCCCGCGUAGAUUCGAAUCCUGCCGACGUCA